AUUGAACGCUGGCGGCAGGCUUAACACAUGCAAGUCGAGCGGGGUGAUGGUGCUUGCACUAUCACUUAGCGGCGGACGGGUGAGUAAUGCUUAGGAAUCUGCCUAUUAGUGGGGGACAACAUCUCGAAAGGGAUGCUAAUACCGCAUACGUCCUACGGGAGAAAGCAGGGGAUCACUUGUGACCUUGCGCUAAUAGAUGAGCCUAAGUCGGAUUAGCUAGUUGGGGGGGUAAAGGCCUACCAAGGCGACGAUCUGUAGCGGGUCUGAGAGGAUGAUCCGCCACACUGGGACUGAGACACGGCCCAGACUCCUACGGGGGGGAGCAGUGGGGAAUAUUGGACAAUGGGGGGAACCCUGAUCCAGCCAUGCCGCGUGUGUGAAGAAGGCCUUAUGGUUGUAAAGCACUUUAAGCGAGGAGGAGGCUCUUUUGGUUAAUACCCAAGAUGAGUGGACGUUACUCGCAGAAUAAGCACCGGCUAACUCUGUGCCAGCCGCCGCAGUAA
rnacentral:rRNA from 1 species